AAAUAAUACUUCUGGGCCGUCUCUUCCUGGUUCUUCCCAGAGUCAGGAAAACCUGGAUUGAAAGAGUGGUUUAAAAAAAAAA
rnacentral:pre_miRNA from 8 species